CCCGCCUCGGCCUCCCAAAGUGCUAGGAUUACAGGCAUGAGCCACCGCGCCCGGCCAAGGUGUUGUGAUUUAUUGUGAUUUAUUGAUGAAGAUUUAGAACAAUGUGUAGAAAUGAGGUACUUAGGCAUUUGUUUAUUGUCCAAUCAAUGCACAUGAAGAAUCCUCAUAGUCUUCAGGCUCCAUCUCUUCCUGUUCAGGUCCAGGAACCAUUCCUUUGUUCUUUAUUUAUGUUCUUUAUUCUCAAAUGUGCUAUUCCUGGUUAACUUCAUAUCUCCCACCAGAAGAAGGUAGCAACACCAUGAUUAUUCACAAUGUAUGUACUGAAAAAAUGUGGUUCUUAUUGCCUCUGUAGGUUCCUAAUACCAUUUAUUUACUGCUGGUUUCAUUAUUACUCAUGAUGCUGCAUCAUCCAUUGGGCUGCCCAUGAAUAAUGGCUGCCAGUGAUGCUCUCAGAAUUUGUUACUGUGUUUGUCGAUAAGGACCGCAAAGCAAGCCUUACCCAGAGUAUGCAGGAAAGUGUGAACAGUACUUCAUUUUCUGGUCGUGUUAAAAUUACUGUUUGAAAUUUUAUAGUAUAAAUGUAGAACAACACAUCUUCUAACCAUGUUUUCUCUUUAACUCUUUAGACAAUAAUCAUUGCGUUUCUAGAAUGAGAUCUAUUUCAAGCUUGCCUGCACCCCUGCCUUCCACAGCACUGCCAGUGGGAAGGAUAGGCUAGGGGCCACGGGCAGAGUGAGGAGUCCCUUGUACAAAGAAUGUCCAUUCUUCAUCUGGCCUGGCUUGAGCCUGACCUAGGGGUGCAUUGAUGGAAGCCAAGAGAGGACAUUGAUGCUAAGCCCCUGUUGGAGUUGUGAAGCAAUAGUCUCGAAAGUCCUCGGAGGAGAUCACCUGUUCUGGGGGAAGCCAGGUGCCAGGUUGUGAGGAGAUAUCAAGCAGCCCUAUGGAGGAGCCCUCGUGGUGAGGAACUGAGGCUUCCUGCCAACAGCCAUGUGAGUAAGUGUGGAGCAGAUCCUCCUGCCCAAGUGAGACCACAGCCCCAACACCAUCCUGACUGCAACAUCCUGAGAGAACUUGAGCCAGAACCACCCAGACAAAGCACUCCUGGACUCCUGGCCCUCAGAAAAUGGGCAGGAUAAUAAAUGUUUGUGGUUCUCAGUCA